GCGUAUUCGUUUGCACUCGUGAGAUUAACCGUCCGUUUAGCUUGCGCGAGCGGAAAAGGCAACGAGAAAUGUCAGAUUCGGUACAAAAAUGAGCACAAAUCCACCAAUUACUCAAUAAAUGACCAAGAUAAUUUGAAAAAUACCACAGAUUUUCCAAGACGUCGACUUUAUCUACCAAUUCGUUAUAUAUUUUGUUUACAAAUCCAAAGAAGCAAUGACAAAAUCAUAUAAUUUUACAGAGCAAGGCGGCGCACGGCCGCCUGUGCUGGCGUCACGUCACGGAUGCUAGAAAAUACAUGCAUGCAGAAAUCCUCGCCUUGCUGACAAAACCAUUUUAUUUUCCGAACGUGAAGUAUUUUAAGUAGUUGUUAU